rnacentral:rRNA from 1 species
CACGUAGGGGCCAAGCGUUGUCCGGAUUCAUUGGGCGUAAAGAGCUCGUAGGCGGUUCAGUCAGUCGGGUGUGAAAUCUCCGGGCUCAACUCGGAGGGGCCACCCGAUACUGCUGUGACUCGAGUCCGGUAGGGGAGUGGGGAAUUCCUGGUGUAGCGGUGAAAUGCGCAGAUAUCAGGAGGAACACCGGUGGCGAAGGCGGGUCUCUGGGCCGAUACUAACGCUGAGGAGCGAAAGCGUGGGGAGCGAACAGG